UAAUACGUAGGUGGCAAGCGUUAUCCGGAAUUACUGGGCGUAAAGCGCACGCAGGUGGCUAUCUAAGAUUGACGUGAAACCUUCUGGCUUAACUGGAAGACGUCGUUGAUGACUGGAUGGCUUGAGACGAGGAGAGGGGUGCAGAAUUCCCGGUGUAGUGGUGGAAUGCGUAGAUAUCGGGAGGAAUACCAGAGGCGAAAGCGGCACCCUGGCCUUAGUCUGACGCUCAGGUGCGAAAGCGUGGGGAGCGAACGGG
rnacentral:rRNA from 1 species